ensembl:lncRNA
AGGAGGGUCAUAUGUCAGCUGGCAUCAGAUAGGUGAGUGUCAUAGGUCAGCUGGCAUCAAAGAGGAGAGGGUCAUAGGUCAGCUGGCAUCAGAUAGGUGAGUGUCAUAGGUCAGCUGGCAUUGGAGAGGACAGGGUCAUAGGUCAGCUGGCAUCAGAGAAGAGAGGGUCAUAGGUUAGCUGGCAUCAGAGAGAAGAGGGUCAUAGGUCAGCUGGCAUCAGAGAGGAGAGGUUCAUAGGUCAGCUGAUAUCACAAAGGAGAGGGUCAUAGGUCAGCUGGCAUCAGAGAGGAGAGGUUCAUAUGUCAGCUGGCAUCAGAGAGGAGAGGGUCAUAGGUCAGCUGGCAUCAGAGAGGAGAGGGUCAUAGGUCAGCUGGCAUCAGAGAGGAGAGGGUCAUAGGUCAGCUGGCAUCAGAGAGAAGAGGGUCAUAGGUCAGCU